UUACAAUGGCCUCCACCCUCAGCCGUGAAGCCAUAAUUAGGCGCACAGAAAUUAGUAACAGUGACAAUGAUAGAGGUUCCAGGAAUACACCACCGGAGGUCCUCCACACAGCGAAGCUGAAAGCAGGCACCGCAGAUCUGUCCGCGUUCAAACAACGACUCGCUGAGCCCCACAGUGGCCAUGCCAUAGCCUGCCUUCACUAAAUCGCCAUAACCACAGGCUCCGCCGACCGCAUCGCGAGGGUCGGAGGCGGCGUAGUAGGUGGCACGAGCAGAUCUCCAGUCGGAGAGGGAAGGGGAGGAAUCCGGGGAGGGGGAGGAGGUUGUAGAAGAGAAAUGGGAGGAGACUGGAGAUGUGAGAAGUGCUGCGACAGUGAAGAGGAAGUGAAGUGGAAGAGAUGGCGACAUCAGUCCGGAG
rnacentral:lncRNA from 1 species